CAAGUCGAGCGAAUCUUUAGGAGCUUGCUCCUAAANAUUAGCGGCGGACGGGUGAGUAACACGUGGGCAACCUGCCUAUAAGACUGGGAUAACUUCGGGAAACCGGAGCUAAUACCAGAUAAUUCUUUUCUACUCAUGUAGAAAAGCUGAAAGACGGUUUACACUGUCACUUAUAGAUGGGCCCGCGGCGCAUUAGCUAGUUGGUGAGGUAACGGCUCACCAAGGCCACGAUGCGUAGCCGACCUGAGAGGGUGAUCGGCCACACUGGGACUGAGACACGGCCCAGACUCCUACGGGAGGCAGCAGUAGGGAAUCUUCCGCAAUGGACGAAAGUCUGACGGAGCAACGCCGCGUGAGUGAUGAAGGUUUUCGGAUCGUAAAACUCUGUUGUUAGGGAAGAACAAGUACGAGAGUAACUGCUCGUACCUUGACGGUACCUAACCAGAAAGCCACGGCUAACUACGUGCCAGCAGCCGCGGUAAUACGUAGGUGGCAAGCGUUGUCCGGAAUUAUUGGGCGUAAAGCGCGCGCAGGCGGUCCUUUAAGUCUGAUGUGAAAGCCCACGGCUCAACCGUGGAGGGUCAUUGGAAACUGGGGGACUUGAGUGCAGGAGAGAAGAGUGGAAUUCCACGUGUAGCGGUGAAAUGCGUAGAGAUGUGGAGGAACACCAGUGGCGAAGGCGACUCUUUGGCCUGUAACUGACGCUGAGGCGCGAAAGCGUGGGGAGCAAACAGGAUUAGAUACCC
rnacentral:rRNA from 1 species